rnacentral:sRNA from 1 species
CAAGAGCACCACCUGGCUGCACCCCGUCACCGGCGAGGCGGUGGUCACCGGACACCGGCGGCAGAGCACAGAUUUGCCUACUGGCUGGGAAGAAGCAUAUACUUUUGAAGGUGCAAGAUACUAUAUAAAUCCCAGAUACCUCUAAUCAUAAGUCUUCAUAGAUCAAUAGAAGAGAAAUAAUGAAUAGAAGAUCUAUUAAAGAAAAGUGUGGAGAAAUACUGGGAAAAUGAAAGAAGAAUACAGAAAGAAAAAUUACCAAUGGCAAGGGUCUCUUUGCCAGGUUUCUAGGUAUUAAGCAUAUACCUAUAUAUCUUAUUCAUUUCCAAAUCAUUAAAUUUAUCUACUCAUUUAACUUAACAUCUACCCAUUAAGGAACACUUAUUUCCUUAGUUUUGAUGAAUCUCAGUAGUGCUUAAAGAUCCUAAGUAGUGGUAGAUGAAAAUGGGAUUUGUGGUCAAGUACGUUUGGGGAAUAAUAGACCAUAAAGGAUUGUUCAUAGCAGAACUUCUUGCCCUUUAAUAUCUUAUUCAGAACCUUACCCUGGAACUUAAUUUUUUCUGGCAUAUGGUUUACUUUUAAAAGGAAAAACUGUAAUAC